rnacentral:lncRNA from 1 species
CGGGACCCGCCGGCUCCUCGGACCAGCGGGACGGACGGACGGACGGAGGGACGGAGGGACGGAGGGAAUGGGGGGAGGGACGGAGGGAGGGACGGAGGGAGGGAAGAAGGGUCACAUGACCCGGAGGAGGAGGAGGAGGAGGAGGAGGGGCGCGCCACUCUAGCCCUCCGUCACGCCCGCCUCGGCCGCGCCCCUCGCUCGCUCUCUCUCUCUCUCUCUCGGCGUGCGCGCCCCCGCCUCAGGCGCCGCUCUCGGCGUGCGCGGCCCCGCCCGCCUCCCGCUCUCCCCCUGCGUGCGCGCUCCCGCCCGCCUCAGGCUGCUGCUCUUUCUCUCGGCGUGCGCGCGCCCGCCUCAGGCGCCGCUCUGUGCGGGCGCGACCCCCCCCCCCGCCUCAGGCGGCUCCACUUUUCUCCCUGCGUGCGCGGCCCCGCCCGCCUGUCCCCUCUCUCCCCCUGCGUGCGCGCCCCCGCCUCGGACGCCUCUCUGUGCGGGCGCGCCCCCGCCCGCCCCAGACACGCCCCUCUCGCGCUCUCUGCGUGCGCGUUCCCGCGUCCGGCGCCUCUCUGCGCGCGCGCCUCCGCCCGCCUCAGGCGUCCCCCUCUCGCGCUCUGCGUGCGCGCCCCCGCCCGCCUCAGGCUCCUCUCUGUGCGCGCGCGCGCGCCCCCGCCCGCCUCCGUCUCCUCCGUCUGUCUCCGUCUCUCCGGACUCCCGCGGGGGAGGGGAGGGGGCGGGGCACGAGGGAAGAGGGCGGGGCGGGGCGCGUGGGGGUCGCCGGCGAGGGGCCGACGCCCCCCGCCCCCUCCCGCCUCCCCGGCGCGAGCGCAAGCGCGCUCCAGUGCGAGGGGAGAGAAAAGACGGCGCGCGCGAGCGAGACCCCGCCCCGCCCUUCCCACACACACACACACACACACACACACACACACACACGCGCGCGCGCCAACUGCCCCGGGCUCUGCGGAUUGGCCGGCCCGUCCGGACAGCGGUCCAAUCCCCAGCAGCCCGGCCGCCCACCGGAAGUGACGCGCGCGCUCCCCCGCUUAUUCCCUUAGGUGUGAGGGCGGGCGCUCCUCCCUCCUUUCCCCCCCUUCCCCCCUCCCUCCCUCCCCCCCCCUCCCUCCUUGCCCCUCCCCCCUCCCUCCUCCCCUCUCCCUCCUCCGUCCUUCCCCUCUCCCUCCUCCCUCCUUUCCCCCUCCCUCCUCCCUCCUUCCCCCCCUCCUCCCCCCACCCCCUCCCUCCUUCCCCCCUCCCUCCUCCCUCUUCCCUCCUUCCUCCUCCCUCCUUCCCUCCUUCCCCCCUCCCUCCUCCCUCCUUCCCCCUUCCCUCCUCCUUCCUUCCCUCCUCCCUCCUCCCUCCCUGCCCUCUGAGGGGACCUCAUUCAGUCAUUCAGUCAAUCAUUCAGUCAUUCAUUCAAUCGUAUUAUGGAGCGCUGACUCUGUGCAGAGCACUGGGCUGAGCCCUUGGAAUGGACAGUUGGGCAACAGAGAGAUCCCAUCCCUG